UCUGAUGCAGCACAAGGUAGUGGCUCCAAAUGAAGCAUUCGUCUUGCUUCACUUUCAAGCAACCGAGAAUUUGAUCCGUAGACAUUGCUUUCUUCACAUAUGAUUCUUUCCCUCUCUUUUUACCGAUUAUAUAAACCCGUCUCUCCUUUUACCAAUAUCAAUUUUUGAUGAUAGAAUCUUCAGACCAUGAUGAGAGUAAGAUUUCUUACAAGCUUCAUCAUUGUUUUAUGCACUCAAGCCAUUUCAAUCUUCGGUUUACAUCAAAAUUUCAGUCUAAACUCAUCAAAUAGCAACAUAGAAUUAGAAACAAAUCAAUCUAUUAGUAAUUUAGUAAACUAUGGAAGCUUAAAGGAGAAAAAGUUUGAACAAGCUUACGACACGAUUAAGAGAGCUCAUAGAGGAAAAGGAGCUAGGGGUGGUGAAUAUAAUAAUGAACGUUCUAAACCUCGCCGUUCUAGAAACUCUGCACCUUCCAAGUUAUCUCGGAUUUCAACUGUGUAUGUAAGCUUUGUUUUAGUAUUUGUUUUCUUCUUCCAUGCCAAGUUGCUUUGAAUUUUCUCACAUUUUUUUAGUGUCACAUCUCGGAACAAACAUUUACAACAUUAGCCUGAAUAAAUGCUUCAAGUUCAGCCUGUCAUGUAUUUCAAUUUAUAAAAAUAUGUUGAAAACACGUUAUGGACAAUGUCAUAAGCUAUUUGUGUAUGUUCUCUGGAGACAGACUCACAAAACUCGUGUCAGUAGAUAAGUUCAAAUAAGCCAGUAACAGACGUAAGUGUGAGUUCUGUUAUUAGUCUCUUUGAAACAAAAAAAAACAUAUUUAAAGAUAGAAUAUCAAAUGAUAAAUAACUACAAUACCCUUAAUAGGGUUCCAAAUGUUUGAAGUCUUGUGCAAACUGCAACAUGAAAUUAGAUUGUUUACAGAUUAUAACACUUACAACAGAUUUACUCUAUUGUAAGCUGAAACAAGUCUCAUUAACAUUUGCAUAGAGUUCACCAAAAGUACCUAAAGAAAAACCAAAAAAACUAGGAAACAAAACACCACCUUAGAAACACAGUGCUGUUCCAAAUGUUUCUUCAAAUAUCAUACAAGAAGUCCUUAAACACUUUCAUAUGCUCAUGUUGAAGAGCGAUCGCCACGGAUAAACUCCCGUCAUUUGUUGAGCUUGGAAUUAUAAAAGAAAGUCCUUCAUAAGCAAUCCCGCCAGGUCCCAUGAAAAUAGGCCUUCCCCAACCGAAAUCAGCAUCGUGAAUCGGAAGCCUAGCCCAACUGGUAAUACCGAGAUUCGGACACUUGAAAGUGUGUGCACCGCGAACAAGUGCUUUAAGAUCAGGUUGCAGCUCUAGAAAAUCAAGAGCGGAUCUUAAAUACUCGUUGUCCAUUCGCGACAACGCGUUGUGGAUUCUACUUGCAGCAUACCAUGUUGGUUUCGACAUGAGAUCACCUGCUAUAGCUAUAGGCGUUGUUGUGAAUAUCACGUUUCCGAAGUAACCCGGUGGAGGAGGAGGCUGCAACCUCGCCCUUCCGUCUGUCGCAAUAUACAAUUUGGUUUCUUGAUCAUCAGGCAACGAUCUUGCUUUGCACACGCUUCUCCAAACAUGACCGGCUAGCAUCUCGUAAGAGCUGUAGUGGACUGUGUUACCUGCUUCUUUCGACUUAGCUUUCAACGUGUUGAGUUGCUCGCGAGUCAAUUUGAAAAUCGACACAGCUGCACCGUCUGAGCCUGGUUUUGUAGGCUGUUGAGAAGUCUUCAUGGAUGGUGGCGGCUUGUAUUCAAUGUGAUCGAAAACAGGUCGAGGAGGAUCGCGGGCACGGAGUAGUGUCCGGUCGAUGAAGGGUGGGAUGGAAACAUCUAGGCCGCGAGCUACGUCUGACCAUGUAUUGAUGAAGUGAAGACCAGAAGCUCCAUCUGCUACAUGAUGUUGCAUACCAACACCAAGUGAUACUCCUCCACAUUUGAAAUAUGUUACCUGCAUAAAUUGUUGAUUUAUCAGAAUUAUCAAAACAUUAAUCACAAAAAUUUGAAUUUCAAUAGCAAGAAAUUAUGAUAUCUUGUUAGCUUCAUAUUUUUUUUUUUUGUCGACUAGGUGACAUAGGCUCCGUCCAGAGCUCACCAAAGUGAGUGCAGCAUAAGCAAUUUUUACUGUAAAAAUCAUAAAUGGAGCUACGGGAUGCCGUUUUGCGCAUUUUGAUAUGCAUUGGAAGGCUAAGAGAAAGAGCUACAAGUUUCAUGUUGAAGCCAAAAGUUGAUUCGAAGUGCAGAAGUCUCAAAUAAUUCAUUAAAGCUUCAGACUUAGGAAAUAAUUAGUUUUGUGUGAGGUUUGUUGUGUUUUUUGACCCGGUUGGGUUAGAACCCAAAUUUAUAUGUUUUCAUAGAUUAUGUUGAUUUUAUUCAAUUUUUGUAUGAUCCUUGACUAUAAUCACGUCAGCGUUUGCUUAAUUUAUUAUCGUGUUUGAUUAAUUUGUGUUUGCUUAAUUAACGAGAGCUUAAAU